UACUCCUACGGGAGGCAGCAGUAGGGAAUCUUCCACAAUGGGCGAAAGCCUGAUGGAGCAACGCCGCGUGGGUGAAGAAGGUCUUCGGAUCGUAAAACCCUGUUGUUAGAGAAGAAAGUGCGUGAGAGUAACUGUUCACAUUUCGACGGUAUCUAACCAGAAAGCCACGGCUAACUACGUGCCAGCAGCCGCGCUAAUACGUAGGUGGCAAGCGUUGUCCGGAUUUAUUGGGCGUAAAGGGAACGCAGGCGGUCUUUUAAGUCUGAUGUGACAGCCUUCGGCUUAACCGGAGUAGUGCAUUUGAA
rnacentral:rRNA from 1 species